rnacentral:rRNA from 1 species
ACUCCUACGGGAGGCAGCAGUGGGGAAUUUUGCGCAAUGGGCGAAAGCCUGACGCAGCAACGCCGCGUGAGUGAUGAAGGCUUUCGGGUCGUAAAGCUCUGUCAGGGGGAAAGAAGUGUAGUGUGGUUAAUACCCAUGCUACUUGACGGUACCCCCAAAGGAAGCACCGGCUAACUCCGUGCCAGCAGCCGCGGUAAUACGGAGGGUGCAAGCGUUGUUCGGAAUUAUUGGGCGUAAAGCGCGUGUAGGCGGUUUUUUAAGUCUGAUGUGAAAGCCCUGGGCUCAACCUGGGAAGUGCAUUGGAUACUGGAAGACUUGAGUACGGGAGAGGGUAGUGGAAUUCCGAGUGUAGGAGUGAAAUCCGUAGAUAUUAGGAGGAACACCGGUGGCGAAGGCGGCUGCCUGGACCGAUAUUGACGCUGAGACGCGAAAGCGUGGGUAGCAAACAGGAUUAGAUACCCUGGUAGUCCACGCCGUAAACGAUGAGAACUAGGUGUCGCGGGUA